AUGGGCAGGUUCCACUUCCACCUCUUCUUCUUCCUCGUGCUUGCGCUCGCCACCAGCAGCAGCACCAGCGCAGUGGCCACUGCCAACGAUGACGCCGUGCAGCAGCGGAAGGAGGCCAUGGUGCAGGCCCUCGGGGUAGUCACCCGCUUCGACCUGGCCAACACCGACCCCGAAGCAGUGAGGCAGGUGAAGCAGGCGCUCGCGGUGCUGGACCGUGAGGUCCAGGCCCACCCCCAGCGGUGGAAGACCAUUUUCAACGCCGUUGACAAGGCCAUGCAUAGCGGCGCCGACGACCGCAGCAGGGCGGAGGCGUCCUUAAUGGCCAAGGAGCUGCUGGAGCGGGAGUUCGGCCCGUGUCCGAGAUGCCUCAAAAGGGACCUCGGAGUCGAAGAUCUGUAA
rnacentral:rRNA from 1 species